rnacentral:rRNA from 1 species
UGGGUGAUCUGCCCUGCACUUUGGGAUAAGCCUGGGAAACUGGGUCUAAUACCGAAUACACCCUGCUGGUCGCAUGGCCUGGUGGGGGAAAGCUUUUGCGGUGUGGGAUGGGCCCGCGGCCUAUCAGCUUGUUGGUGGGGUGAUGGCCUACCAAGGCGACGACGGGUAGCCGGCCUGAGAGGGUGUCCGGCCACACUGGGACUGAGAUACGGCCCAGACUCCUACGGGAGGCA